UACAGAGGUCUCAAGCGUUGUUCGGAUUCAUUGGGCGUAAAGGGUGUGUAGGUGGCGCGCUAAGUCGGGUGUGAAAUCUCGGGGCUUAACUCCGAAACUGCAUUCGAUACUGGCGUGCUUGAGGACUGGAGAGGAGACUGGAAUUCAUGGUGUAGCAGUGAAAUGCGCAGAUAUCAGGAGGAACACCGGUGGCGAAGGCGGGUCUCUGGGCCGAUACUGACGCUGAGGAGCGAAAGCGUGGGGAGCGAACAGG
rnacentral:rRNA from 1 species